CUCCAGUCUGCCGGGCCUCUGCAUUUUUUCGAUUUGCUAACAUGGAGGAAAAUGUUACCCUAAUAUUCAGUAAGCGCUAUUUUGAAGACACAUAUAUAUUUAUAAUGCAUUUUGCCUAGGUGUAGCCUUCUAAUAUAUCUAAAUCCUAUUAAAUAUUGGCAGUGUUGGGGUGGCUGGGAAAUGUACUACUUACAUUUACUGCUUAAAUAUAGUAUACAAAUAUAUAAUACAUGUUGAACAUAGCUGUUAAAUUAGGUAGAGCAGGCAAAACAGCACAAUUGAUUUGAUUUCAAUUAAACAUUAGUUUACCUGUUUAAACUAUAUUUUUGUACUUCAUUUGCUCAUUUGCACACACACACACACACACACACACACACACACACACACACACACACACACACACACACACACACACACACACACACACACACACACACACAAUUUACAUAUUGAAUAAGUGGAAGAUAUUAAACUUUCCUCUUAUUUUAUUUUAUUUUACUAAUUUAUUUUACUCUUCAUUCAUUUUUAUGAAUGCUUUUAUCCAUAUGCUUAUUGUUGUAGGCCUAUUGUUGACAAUGACCUGUAUUUCCUAUGAGACCCACAAAGGUGAAUGCCGUCUCAGUAUUAGGGGGACGCGUUGUUGUUUAUCUCCACUAUGGAGUUUUUCCACUUCGGUCGGUGCUGUUGAUGAUUUUCCUACUUUGACUAUAGCCGUUUCUCAAUUCCUAGCACGCGUACUACGGACUCGAUGACUUGCAAGCACGUACUUGGCAAGUCCGUACUUCAAGCACAGACUUGCGAGCACGCGAGUACGUACCUGCAAUUGGAACAGCAGCGGACUCGAUGACGUCACCACCUCUGCUCGUCUGUUAACUGUGCUACGGCCUCAUUUAGACAUAUACUACUGAACAAUAUAAACAAAUGAUAUAAAUCAAAACCCCAGCCUCUUUCAUUUUCAAAUAGUAUGUAAAUAUUCUGAAUGAAUAAAAAUUGAAAAGAUAUGCGUGUCCUGUCAUGUGUAUGAGCUAUACACGCACGACUUUAUAUAUAUAUAUUUAUAUAUUAUCUUAUAUUAUUAUAUUAUAUAUUAUAUAAAUAUAUAUAUAAGUUAAGAGUAACUUAAGCUACAGUUGUGCGUCUUCUCCAUAUUGUCCGCCAUCGUACUGUUGAGAGUGCGAAAUGCAUCCUGGGAUUUAUGCAUGCUUGGUGAAACGGCGAGAUCGAGCACGCAUCAAGAACACUUCCGGGUUUUACGACAGUACUCGCUUGAUGUGUGCUUCAAAUUGGAACAGUGCUCGGGCAACGACUGAUGACGUUUCACGAGUCCACGAGCACACGAGCACGCAGAAGUUGAGAAUUGAGAAACGGCCUAUGUUCUCGGUGUGGUAAAUGGUGCUUAUGACUUACAAAUCUUAUUUUAUGGCCAUCUGAGAUGGCCAAGGAGGGAUUGUUACGUAUUUUAAGUACAUAAGCUGCUCCCACAUAGCCAUUAGGAAGCAUGAUCGAACACACAAGCUGCAUUACCCUCACAUAGCCACUAGGAAGCAGGAUCGAACACUUAAGCUGCAAUAACUACUCCAGCCACAGAUGGCAGCACCUUUAGACAGGGGCGGAGCCAUUACGUCACCCCGACCACGCCCACUUCACAUAUGCCACGCCCACUUGACGGGCAAGAGCGCGUGAUUCGAAGUGAAGAGGUCAGAGACUAUAGGUAACUGCGGAGAGAGGGUUCCUCCUACCUCCAGUCUGCCAUAGAGGAAGGUCACAGCGAGGAGUGGGCACGGCAGACCAUCCGCUACCUGGCUGACUGCGAGCUGCACAAAAAGAUGGCUACAUUUGUCCCCUCUGCAGCCAUAUACCCUCCUCCACCACCCUUCAGGCCCCUUCCACUCGCCCAGUGGUUUGAGACAGUCCACUCCAACGACAUCCUCAGCCACGUGGAGGAGAUGAAGGGUGUGAUCACUUCAACGUAUGGGAGAAUCCUGAAAAUGGACUCCACAAAGAAGGUGAGGGUUUCAACAGUAGAAAAAUAUACAAAAUUGUAUAAUUACAACCAAACAGGAAAUUGGUUUACUUCAUAGUGCUUGUGUUUGUUUUACAGGUCACCAAGAAGCUGGCUGGUGCAAUCGGGGACAGUGCCGCCUGGAUGUCGAACAUCGGCAACGAGUUUGGCCAGGUGUUGAACUCUGUGCUGACGACUGGUGAAGGUGCAGGGUUAGAGGAGUUGUGCCAGGGCGUCGUCACCCAGUAUAGGAAUGCGGGCCAACCUGAACCUGAGGCCAUCUAUGUUGAUCGGGACUGUUGCAGCCAGUCAGGUGUGUGAAAAUUGCUCUCUCACUCACACACAGACACACAGACACAGACACACACACACACACACACACACACACACACACACACACACACACACACACACACACACACACACACACACACACACACACACACCCACACUUACUCACUCACUAACACACACACAAACACACUGUUUGUAGCAUUUGUAUUAAAUGUAUUUAUUUAAUACCAAUGCUACUUUGGGGAGAAGUGUCAGGCAAUUGGGAGUAACCACACAAAGGUGUUGUGGUCUAUGGUAUUAAGAAUGGUUGUUUUUCACAGGUGUGUCUGCAGUGGCGAAACUCUUUCGCCCAUGGAGGUCUGCAGUGCGCCUGGAUAGCUUCCAUUUUAUGAGGCGCUUUAACUGCGGCCUCACAACCGAACACCACCCUCUCUAUGGCACCUUUUGUGCCAAGCUUUCCGCCUGCAUUUUUCUCUGGGACCAGGAGGAUGUGCAACGCCUGAAGGAGGCCAAGAGAGCGGAGUGGAAGAGCAGCCACAGCGGACAUACUCCCACUGACGACCAGCUCAUGGCCACCAUCAGCCCAGCUGAAAUGAAGAGGCACUGCAGGAGGAGGACGCGUGGAGUGGAGGAGAUGCGGAGCAGUAUUUCAGGGCUCCUGGAAUCUGUGAGGGAGCUCACAGACACCACAGGGCUGCGUCUGGUGAGCCAUGACAGCAUGCGCCACGUGUGGGAAGUACAGCAGAAGCACCUGGAGUGCCUCCAAGACCCUGCAGGUGUUGCACUUUACACGAAGGUGGGGACACUCCAGAAGGGCGGCAAGGAGCUGGACAUCCUUAGGUGUGGUAGGGGGUCCUCCUCCCUGGAGAGUUUCCACCGGCACCAGUGUGCUUUCAUUCCAGGUACAUUUGCAUGUGUUGUGAUUAUUCAAAAUAGCACAAUUACCAUUGACGGGUGUUCAUAUGUAUUCACUUUACAAUAACGGUUGACUGGACAGAGUGUUUUGUUUCUUAGGCUGGCGGUGCAAUGCGGUGCACAUGCAAAUGUACAUGCUGGAGGGUAUAUCAAGGUGGAACAUGGGCCGGGCCAAAGAGACAGUAGAUGUGGAGGGGGCCUCCACCCUAAGAAGCUUCGAUGUUCGGUUGAUGUCCCACCUUAACAAUCUAAGCCAGCGUGUGCAUGGUUGUGCUCUGGUGCCAGAGUUCACCCUUCCUGGGAAACCUACUGGUAAGAGAGAUCUCAGAGCAACACUGGUUGCCCGGAGUAUCACAUCCCCUCCUCUUUUUCUUAGGCACCCCCCUACCCAGAGAACAUGCAUUUCUUGAGUGCAAAGAUUGUGCUAUUCAUGUAGGAGAUGGAUGUAUGUACAGUAUGUAUGUCCUUUCUUUAUCUUUGUGUUUAGGCUGGUUACAGGCGAACGCAUAGCCGUGGAAUAUUUAUUGGAGCAGACCAAUAGAGGCGACCUGCUGGCUCCAUCACAGGCCUCCAUCUCAGAAAUCCCCUUGCCGGUGCUGGAGGAGGAGGAGGAGGAGGAGGAGGAUGAUGCCAUCAGCAUGCCUGCCAUCAGCAUGCCUGCCAUCAGCAUGCCUGCCUCUGUCACAGAGGUCAAUAACAUACAAUAAGAUAAAUGAAUGUAAAAUUAGCAUUGCUCACAUAUUAGAAACAAGAGUGUACAUUUAUUUGCUUGUUUUUUCUUUUUCGCUCUUAUCACUUUUCAGACCAGCCAAUGUGAUUCGAGGGGCGUUCCGGGGUGGGACGCAGUAGAUGCCCUUGCUGCCUACCUACUCGCAUUAAACGGCACCAUCACGGCCUUGUCAGCCAAGGAGGAGGCGGACAUAGUUCGCCUGUACGCGGCUUUACAUGCGAUGGAUCGGAAACCUUCAAGGUACAAAAUAGUAAUUAUUAUUAUUAUUACACCAAAAUUAUACAUUCCAUGGAAUGAAUUAAGCAUUUGGAUGUCUCUUUCACCGUUCAGGUACACCCAGAAGGCAAAGAAGAAAUCACAUGCGUCAGGAGGAAUGUGGAGAGCACCGAGGAAGCCGAGUGGCAUCAUUUUAUGAAAUGUAUUUAUUAUGUGUAGAUUAUUUUAUUGAAAUCCCUGUUGACAUUGUCACUUGGUUCUUCAUGACUUUAUAUCCUUGUUCACAGUACAUAUCAUAUCAUCCUUCUCUCCCACAGGCUGUACAUGACUCAUGGCCAAGCAGCCCAGGACCCCGAAGUUCACAGGGUCUGUGAGUGUGUCUGCCUCAGAC
ensembl:lncRNA